rnacentral:lncRNA from 1 species
GGGGACACGGGACUUCAAUCAGCUUAGGCUGCAGUCUUUUGGUGCUGAACUGCUACAGAAAUACUGCACACAGCAAGCCCAGCCACUAAUGAAGGGCACAGUUAAUUAGCAUAUAUUACUGUUACAGACAGUUUUUGGAUGCCCUUACUACCUUUAGAAUGAUCUUUUGUUUCAUACAAGACAUUAAAAAGACCCAGUAACACUCACAGAAUUCCUCUGUUAACAUCUUGAGCUAUAAAUGCCAAAGAAAUUAGUCUGAACGCUCUGCCAUCCCCCUGCUCCAUGACACAGGUGAUGACUUCAUAAGCUGUGCCGCCUGUACCACCUCAUCGCCCCCUACUUUGCUCUCAGCGAGUCGAGCAUGCGGGGAUGGGGCUGCUGCAGUUUUUACUUUGAGAGCCAAGUGAGGCUCUCAGGCUGAGAGGCCGAGGGCUCCAGAACAUGAUUCAGAAAGAUCAGUGCGCUCAGCACUGCCAGCUUCAUCGGUUACCUCUUUGAGUCCUCCAUCGCAGAGCAAAUCCCACACACUAGGCAAUGGGACCAGAGGCAGGAACGGCAGAUGCAGUGAGCAGUUGCUGGUUCCUCAAGUUUUGCAUGCGUGCAGUCUUCACAUAACAGGCAUGGAUGUGUAUGUAAUACAGCAACAACACAACAGGAUGUUAGAUGAAGAAAAGAUGUCGAGACAAGAAGAAUUUCCACUAAAACUGCUCCCAGCCAUUCUCUCCUACAAAGCAGCAGCACACAGAGAUCUGAGGAAAGGUUUCUAUGCUACAACCAUCAGCCUGAAAUGCAAGAAUGAGUCUGCAGCCUAAUGUCUCAGCCAGCCACUGGACCUGGUACUGCUGUCCUGCUCGUAAAAAGUAGUUAAACUUGUGCAUAUAAAAGUUAAGAUUGAAGGCCAGUUACUCAUUUCACUGGUUUGUAAGAGCUAGGCCUGCUAAGCCACUGUAGUCACCCUUGGUAGAUCUUAUAAUUUCAGCAAUGCUGUUUCUACAGAGGUCAACCAACACUGCACACAUCCUUUAACAGAUGGUUGGAGAGAGUUGUAAUUUAGUUCAAAGAGUUCCUAUGUUGCAUGAUGCAACACAACGCACAGACCCCCCAGCGCAGGCCAGAGCACCUAUGAUAUACUGUAAACCGACUGACCAAAGGAAUCAAGUUUCCUUGACUGUGAUUUCAGCCUGAAUAUAUAUUAUCUAUGAAUACUUUGGUAUACUGACAUUUCAGUCACAAUAUCCAAUACUAAAUAUUUAUUUCAAGUUUGAAAUUUUCCAAACCAUUAGGCUGAUGAUCAGUUUUAAGAAUCAUACAUAAAGAGUUGAGAUAAUGACAAAAGCAGAAAAAGACUGUUUAGGAAUUAGCAAUGGAAAAAUAAAAGUUAACUGAUGAAGAAUGGCA